rnacentral:lncRNA from 1 species
CUUAAAGAUGUCCAUCUCAUUCCACUGCCUGUUCUCUGAUUUUUAAAAUAAAAUAUUUUAAAAAAUAUUUUGUUUAUUUAGUUGUAGUUGGACACAAUACCUUUAUUUUAUUUUUAUGUGGUGCUGAGGAUCGAACCCAGGGCCUCACAUAUGCUAGGCGAGCACUCUAACGCUGAGCCACAACCCCAGCCCCUUAAAAUGAAAUUUUAACCUAAAUUCAUCUUGGUGUUGCUUGGACCCAAUCUGAGUCUGUAUGAUUAGUUCAGGAGAAGUGAAGGUACACACUUAUUGUUUGACUUCGGCCUUACAGAGACAGGGUGACACACCUGAUCUGAUGCUGGGGCAGCCCCAUGUCCCUGUCCAGCAGGGAAGAGGCAAAUCAUGUUGGGUGUUGGGACACUGCUCUGUUUUCUCCUGUGGGAGGGCCCCAACAGCACCUCCACCUGCCACCUGCACCUUCCCUCCAACGUGGGCUACGUCAGCAGGCUUCGGGGUCCUGGACCACAUCUGCCUUGUGGAGUAGCAGCCUAGCUUCAGCAGGAACACUUUCAGAAAUACUGUUGAGUGAACAAG